AAAGAAAGCCUUGUGACUUAUUGAUACCAUCUGUUACUUAUGUCAAUCCACACAUCCAUAUAUAUAUAAUCAAUAGAAACAUAGAAUAUGCAAUAUUCUACAUUCCCUCUGUUUAUGGUUUGUUUUAAAACCAUAACACAAUGUAAUUAACCUGUCCAUUCAUACAUCACUUGUAUCACAUUCAUUGAGCAUAGAACAAGAUGAAGUCAC